rnacentral:rRNA from 1 species
CUCGACGUAUCCCAGAUUAUCCUGACGCGUUUGCAGGGUGGAAUUUGAUCUGUAGUUAUGGUUCUUAUUUAUCAAUUUUAGCCAGCCUCUUCUUUUUCUAUGUUGUUUACGCAACAUUAACACAAGGUGAAAAGUGUGGUAUUAACCCAUGGGCAGUGGAAGGUGAAUCAACAACGUCAACUUUAGAGUGGACGGUGGCGUCUCCUCCGGCUUUCCAUACUUUUGAAGAAAUUCCGGCGAUUAAGGAGCCUUCUUCACACCCUGUUUUACGUUAAUUAAUUCAGUUUUGGAAGAGCAAGGGGUCGAAAAAAUCGACCCCUUUUUUUACUCUAAAUCCUUUUUUGUCCAAAUUUCAGAAAGUGAGCUAACGCAUGAAAUCAGCCGCCUGGGGACUACGGCCGCAAGGCUAAAACCCAAAGGAAUUGACGGGGGCUUACACAAGCGGUGGAGCAUGUGGUUUAAUUCGAAACAACGCGCAAAACCUUACCAAUCCUUGACAUAUGAAAAACCAGGGUGUUUACCCGCUCUGUCUCUUUUAUACAGGUGCUGCAUGGCUGUCGUCAGUUCGUGGUGUGAGCUGUUGGGUUAAGUCCCAGAACGAACGCAACCCUCCUUUGAAAUGAAGGUUUACCUUUUUCAAAGACUGCCAAGGAUAUCUUGGAGGAAGGUGAGGAUGACGUCAAGUCCGCAUGGCCCUUAUGGGUUGGGCUACACACGUGCUACAAUGGGAAUGACAAAAGGAGGCAACAUGGCAACAUUGAGCAAAUCCCAAAAAGUUUCCUUAGUUCGGAUUGUUCUCUGCAACUCGAGAACAUGAAGUUGGAAUCGCUAGUAAUCGUAGAUCAGCACGCUACGGUGAAUUUGUAUCUAAGCCUUGUACACACCGCCCGUCACAUAAUGGGAGCGAGAUCUGCACAAAGUAUUUUAUUGCUACACAUAAGCAUAUGUAUAAUGUAUUAUUCAUAAGGUGUGUACUGCAUACAAUAUUACUGCAGGUAUUGUGACUGAUAUGAAGUCGUAACAAGGUAGCCGUAGGGGAACCUGCGGCUG